UUGCUCUGUUGGGCAGCACAUAUACAAAAAUUGGAGUGAUAUAGAGAAGAUUAGCAUGGCCCCAGCACAAGGAUGACACACAAAUUUGUGAUGUGUUUCAUAUUUUU